UAGGGAAUCUUCGGCAAUGGACGAAAGUCUGACCGAGCAACGCCGCGUGAGUGAAGAAGGUUUUCGGAUCGUAAAACUCUGUUGUUAGAGAAGAACAAGGACGUUAGUAACUGAACGUCCCCUGACGGUAUCUAACCAGAAAGCCACGGCUAACUACGUGCCAGCAGCCGCGGUAAUACGUAGGUGGCAAGCGUUGUCCGGAUCUAUUGGGCGUAAAGCGAGCGCAGGCGGUUUCUUAAGUCUGAUGUGAAAGCCCCCGGCUCAACCGGGGAGUGUCAUUGGAAACUGGGGGACUUGAGUGCAGAAGAGGAGAUUGGAAUUCCAUGUGUAGCGGUGAAAUGCGUAGAUAUAUGGAGGAACACCAGUGGCGAAGGCUGCUCUCUGGUCUGUAACUGACGCUGAGGCUCGAAAGCGUGGGGAGCAAACAGG
rnacentral:rRNA from 1 species